GACGAACGCUGGCGGCGUGCUUAACACAUGCAAGUCGAACGGAAAGGCCCUGCUUUUGUGGGGUGCUCGAGUGGCGAACGGGUGAGUAACACGUGAGUAACCUGCCCUUGACUUUGGGAUAACUUCAGGAAACUGGGGCUAAUACCGGAUAGGAGCUCCUGCUGCAUGGUGGGGGUUGGAAAGUUUCGGCGGUUGGGGAUGGACUCGCGGCUUAUCAGCUUGUUGGUGGGGUAGUGGCUUACCAAGGCUUUGACGGGUAGCCGGCCUGAGAGGGUGACCGGCCACAUUGGGACUGAGACACGGCCCAGACUCCUACGGGAGGCAGCAGUGGGGAAUAUUGCACAAUGGGCGGAAGCCUGAUGCAGCAACGCCGCGUGCGGGAUGACGGCCUUCGGGUUGUAAAGCCCUUUUGUUGGGAAAGAAAAGCAGCAGGUUAAUACCCCGCUGUUCUGACGGUACCCAAAGAAUAAGCACCGGCUAACUUCGUG
rnacentral:rRNA from 1 species